CUCUCCAAGCAAAUACAUGGCAAACGUGUGUUGAGAGUCUCUGAGAGGCAGAGAGAACGAUUAGCAUUUCCCAAACUUAUUUCUCCACAGGAUGUUUUUUUAACAUGGAGCGUCUCAUAGGACUGGCUUCUGAGGAACACAGCUGCAGCUGCAACCUACUUGGUUUUUGGGCCUGAGCCAGGGGCCUGGGCCAGAGGAGAGCAAUUGAGCACCCUGGCUGAGUGAGGGAUGAAUCUCAGGAGUUGAGGACAACUAUUUACAGUAACACUGCCCUCAACCCCCCAGCCUGGUUCAAGAAUGCUCUAACAACUCUCCAGCCUUCUCAGAGUAAAGCUCGAGUUCCCACAGGAGCAGCCCCGCUUCCUCCUUAGCCUCAUUUCCUGCCACUGACUCCUCACUGCUCUGCCCCAGCCACACUGGCCUUUCGGUUCCCAGAACCUGCCAAGCACUUUCCUGCCUCAAGGACUUUGUACUAGUGUUCUCUUUGCCCAGGAAAGACUGAAGUGGGAGGAGGAGGAGCAAGACACAUAACAAAGGAAACCUUUAAGGGAGCAGAGAAAAUGGCAAGGAAGACUUAUGACUGAACUGUAGAAACUGAAGACGAUUACAGACCUGGGGCAGGAGCUGAAGAAGAAUACAGACUGAGGGCAGGAGCAGAGAGGAUGUACUCUGGGGAAGAGCCAAGAUACAUCUAUAUAGCAACUGCAGCUGGCAAACUACUCCCACAUCUCUUCUCUCCUUUAGACCUUACAUCAGCCCUGUGCUGUGUGUGAGUGGAGUUUUUAAUCUUUCAAUUGCAGAUGAGAAAAUCUUCCCUUAAUUCUAUUUCUUUGUUUAUUUAUUGAGACCGUC